rnacentral:rRNA from 1 species
GUCUACAGCCAUACCACCCUGAACGCGCCCAGUCUCAUCUGAUGUCGGAAGCUAAGCAGGGUCGGGCCUGGUUAGUACUUGGAUGGGAGACUACAGAACAAAUAGUGUGAACC